rnacentral:rRNA from 1 species
GGUUAAGCGACUAAGCGUACACGGUGGAUGCCCUGGCAGUCAGAGGCGAUGAAGGACGUGCUAAUCUGCGAUAAGCGUCGGUAAGGUGAUAUGAACCGUUAUAACCGGCGAUUUCCGAAUGGGGAAACCCAGUGUGAUUCGUCACACUAUCAUUAACUGAAUCCAUAGGUUAAUGAGGCGAACCGGGGGAACUGAAACAUCUAAGUACCCCGAGGAAAAGAAAUCAACCGAGAUUCCCCCAGUAGCGGCGAGCGAACGGGGAGGAGCCCAGAGCCUGAAUCAGUGUGUGUGUUAGUGGAAGCGUCUGGAAAGGCGCGCGAUACAGGGUGACAGCCCCGUACACAAAAAUGCACAUGCUGUGAGCUCGAUGAGUAGGGCGGGACACGUGGUAUCCUGUCUGAAUAUGGGGGACCAUCCUCCAAGGCUAAAUACUCCUGACUGACCGAUAGUGAACCAGUACCGUGAGGGAAAGGCGAAAAGAACCCCGGCGAGGGGAGUGAAAAAGAACCUGAAACCGUGUACGUACAAGCAGUGGGAGCCUCUUAAUGGGGUGACUGCGUACCUUUUGUAUAAUGGGUCAGCGACUUAUAUUCUGUAGCAAGGUUAACCGAAUAGGGGAGCCGAAGGGAAACCGAGUCUUAACUGGGCGUUAAGUUGCAGGGUAUAGACCCGAAACCCGGUGAUCUAGCCAUGGGCAGGUUGAAGGUUGGGUAACACUAACUGGAGGACCGAACCGACUAAUGUUGAAAAAUUAGCGGAUGACUUGUGGCUGGGGGUGAAAGGCCAAUCAAACCGGGAGAUAGCUGGUUCUCCCCGAAAGCUAUUUAGGUAGCGCCUCGUGAAUUCAUCUCCGGGGGUAGAGCACUGUUUCGGCAAGGGGGUCAUCCCGACUUACCAACCCGAUGCAAACUGCGAAUACCGGAGAAUGUUAUCACGGGAGACACACGGCGGGUGCUAACGUCCGUCGUGAAGAGGGAAACAACCCAGACCGCCAGCUAAGGUCCCAAAGUCAUGGUUAAGUGGGAAACGAUGUGGGAAGGCCCAGACAGCCAGGAUGUUGGCUUAGAAGCAGCCAUCAUUUAAAGAAAGCGUAAUAGCUCACUGGUCGAGUCGGCCUGCGCGGAAGAUGUAACGGGGCUAAACCAUGCACCGAAGCUGCGGCAGCGACACUAUGUGUUGUUGGGUAGGGGAGCGUUCUGUAAGCCUGUGAAGGUGGCCUGUGAGGGUUGCUGGAGGUAUCAGAAGUGCGAAUGCUGACAUAAGUAACGAUAAAGCGGGUGAAAAGCCCGCUCGCCGGAAGACCAAGGGUUCCUGUCCAACGUUAAUCGGGGCAGGGUGAGUCGACCCCUAAGGCGAGGCCGAAAGGCGUAGUCGAUGGGAAACAGGUUAAUAUUCCUGUACUUGGUGUUACUGCGAAGGGGGGACGGAGAAGGCUAUGUUGGCCGGGCGACGGUUGUCCCGGUUUAAGCGUGUAGGCUGGUUUUCCAGGCAAAUCCGGAAAACCAAGGCUGAGGCGUGAUGACGAGGCACUACGGUGCUGAAGUGACAAAUGCCCUGCUUCCAGGAAAAGCCUCUAAGCAUCAGGUAACAUCAAAUCGUACCCCAAACCGACACAGGUGGUCAGGUAGAGAAUACCAAGGCGCUUGAGAGAACUCGGGUGAAGGAACUAGGCAAAAUGGUGCCGUAACUUCGGGAGAAGGCACGCUGAUAUGUAGGUGAAGCGACUUGCUCGUGGAGCUGAAAUCAGUCGAAGAUACCAGCUGGCUGCAACUGUUUAUUAAAAACACAGCACUGUGCAAACACGAAAGUGGACGUAUACGGUGUGACGCCUGCCCGGUGCCGGAAGGUUAAUUGAUGGGGUUAGCGGUAACGCGAAGCUCUUGAUCGAAGCCCCGGUAAACGGCGGCCGUAACUAUAACGGUCCUAAGGUAGCGAAAUUCCUUGUCGGGUAAGUUCCGACCUGCACGAAUGGCGUAAUGAUGGCCAGGCUGUCUCCACCCGAGACUCAGUGAAAUUGAACUCGCUGUGAAGAUGCAGUGUACCCGCGGCAAGACGGAAAGACCCCGUGAACCUUUACUAUAGCUUGACACUGAACAUUGAGCCUUGAUGUGUAGGAUAGGUGGGAGGCUUUGAAGUGUGGACGCCAGUCUGCAUGGAGCCGACCUUGAAAUACCACCCUUUAAUGUUUGAUGUUCUAACGUUGGCCCCUAAUCGGGGUUGCGGACAGUGUCUGGUGGGUAGUUUGACUGGGGCGGUCUCCUCCUAAAGAGUAACGGAGGAGCACGAAGGUUGGCUAAUCCUGGUCGGACAUCAGGAGGUUAGUGCAAUGGCAUAAGCCAGCUUGACUGCGAGCGUGACGGCGCGAGCAGGUGCGAAAGCAGGUCAUAGUGAUCCGGUGGUUCUGAAUGGAAGGGCCAUCGCUCAACGGAUAAAAGGUACUCCGGGGAUAACAGGCUGAUGCCGCCCAAGAGUUCAUAUCGACGGCGGUGUUUGGCACCUCGAUGUCGGCUCAUCACAUCCUGGGGCUGAAGUAGGUCCCAAGGGUAUGGCUGUUCGCCAUUUAAAGUGGUACGCGAGCUGGGUUUAGAACGUCGUGAGACAGUUCGGUCCCUAUCUGCCGUGGGCGCUGGAGAACUGAGGGGGGGCUGCUCCUAGUACGAGAGGACCGGAGUGGACGCAUCACUGGUGUUCGGGUUGUCAUGCCAAUGGCACUGCCCGGUAGCUAAAUGCGGAAGAGAUAAGUGCUGAAAGCAUCUAAGCACGAAACUUGCCCCGAGAUGAGUUCUCCCUGAGACUUAGAGUCUCCUGAAGGAACGUUGAAGACGACGACGUUGAUAGGCCGGGUGUGUAAGCGCAGCGAUGCGUUGAGCUAACCGGUACUAAUGAACCGUGAGGCUUAACCUU